GCGUCUUCGACCGCUCCCUUGGGCGGCCCCUGGCCCAGUCCCCUCUCUCUAGGCCGCCGCCACCGCCUCUUCCGCCACCGUGCGCUGGGGCCUUCGCACCAACAACAUGGAGGCCGUGAAAACCUUCAACAGCGAACUCUAUUCCCUGAAUGACUACAAACCACCUAUUUCCAAGGCUAAAAUGACACAGAUUACUAAGGCAGCCAUCAAAGCUAUUAAGUUCUAUAAACACGUGGUACAGAGUGUUGAGAAAUUCAUUCAAAAGUGUAAACCAGAAUAUAAGGUGCCUGGACUUUAUGUUAUUGAUUCCAUUGUACGACAAUCUCGACAUCAGUUUGGUCAAGAAAAGGAUGUUUUUGCACCCAGAUUUAGUAAUAACAUCAUUAGCACUUUUCAGAAUUUGUAUCGUUGCCCUGGUGACGACAAGAGUAAAAUAGUCAGGGUUCUAAACUUAUGGCAGAAGAAUAAUGUAUUUAAGAGUGAAAUUAUUCAGCCUCUUCUUGAUAUGGCAGCAGGAAUUCCACCACCAGUUGUCACGCCUGUUUUGCCAAGUACAGCAGCAUCUAUGAGCAACAAUACCCCAGGAACUCCGGUGACACCUGUUACUCCAGCCAAUGUGGUACAAGGUUUGCCUGACCCUUGGGUAUCUCAGAUAGCCAAUACAGAUACACUAGCUGCUGUGGCACAGAUUUUGCAAAGUCCUCAAGGCCAGCAGCUACAACAAUUAAUACAGACACUACAGAUUCAACAGCAGAAACCACAGCCUUCACUACUUCAAGCACUGGAUGCUGGUCUUGUUGUUCAGUUGCAAGCAUUGACAGCACAACUCACAGCUGCAGCUGCAGCAGCCAAUACUCUUAAUCCGCUAGAACAAGGAGUCUCUUUUAAUAAGAAGUUGAUGGAUAGAUUUGAUUUUGGAGAAGAUUCUGACCGCGGUGAAGAACCUAAAAAGGAAACUUCAUCUUCCCAACUCUCUCAUGUUUCAGAAUCUGUAAACAACUCAAUUUUUCAUCAGUUAGCAGAACAACUGCAACAACAAAAUCUUGAGCAUCUUCGACAACAGCUCCUAGAACAGCAGCAACCUCAAAAGGUAACUGUUACUCAAGAGAAUCCAGAAAGUACAUUUGGUUCAGAGCACUCUGCAUCACCAUCACAGGGAAGUAGCCAACAGCAGUUCCUUGAACCUGAGACAAACUUGGAUGAUUCUAUAGAUAUUCAGCAACAGGAUAUGGAGUUAGAUGAAGGGCAAGAUGUUGCUGAAGAGAUCUUUGAGCAAGAAGAAAAGAAAGUGCCUAUUCGCUCUAGAUCAAGAACACAUUCAAGAUCUCGGUCAAGAUCACCAAGAAAACGAAGGUCCAGGUCACGCUCUGGUUCUCGAAAGCGCAAACACAGAAAGCGAUCACGCUCACGGUCAAGAGAAAGGAAAAGAAAAUCUUCUCGUUCCUACUCUAGCGAAAGAAGAGCUAGGGAAAGGGAGAAAGAAAGACAGAAAAAAGGAUUGCCUCCAAUCCGAUCUAAAACAUUAAGUGUCUGUAGUACUACUCUCUGGGUUGGUCAAGUAGAUAAGAAAGCUACACAGCAAGAUUUAACCAAUCUUUUUGAAGAAUUUGGACAGAUUGAAUCCAUUAAUAUGAUUCCUCCACGAGGCUGUGCCUAUGUUUGUAUGGUUCAUAGACAAGAUUCUUAUCGGGCACUUCAGAAACUUAGUUCCGGAUCUUACAAAAUUGGAUCCAAAGUUAUAAAGAUUGCUUGGGCUUUAAAUAAAGGUGUAAAAACAGAGUAUAAACAAUUUUGGGAUGUAGAUCUUGGAGUUACUUAUAUACCGUGGGAGAAAGUAAAGGUGGAUGACCUAGAUGGCUUUGCUGAAGGAGGGAUGAUUGAUCAGGAGACUGUGAAUAGUGAAUGGGAAACUGUGAAGACUUCUGAGCCUGUCAAAGAACCUGUCCAAACUGUAGAGAGUCCGACAACAGUUGAAAAGACACCAGUGGUUACUACACAGGCUGAAGUUUAUCCUCCACCUGUUGCUAUGUUGCCGAUUCCAGUAGCACCAGCUGUACCUACUGUUAGUUUAGUUCCACCAACAUUUCCAGUGUCAAUGUCCGUUCCUCCUCCAGGAUUUAGUGCAAUUCCUCCACCUCCCUUCUUAAGAGCAAGUUUCAACCCAUCACAACCACCUCCUGGUUUCAUGCCACCCCCGGUUCCACCACCUGUUGUGCCACCCCCUGCUAUUCCUCCAGUAGUAGCAACAUCUCUAGUACAGCCUCCAAUAUCUAUGACUCCAGAGACAAUGAAAGAUGUUGCUUUUAGUAACCUUGUUUUGCCAGUUGGCUCUGUGUCUAGCAGUCUUGCUACUUCAACUAUGUCAGCUGGAAGUGUUUAUAAUCCACCAAGUAACCAGCCUGAGGCAGAAGAAAAAUUAUCACACCUCACAGACCACCAGCUUUCUUCCAGUGAAAGUACCAGACCAGUGAUCCACAAUGAUGUCUCAAGUAGCUCUGGAAUUCUAGGUGGACAGCCACCAAACAUGUCAAGCAAUUCUGGGAUUUUGGGUGGACAGCCACCAAAUGUAUCAAGCAAUUCUGGAAUUCUGGGAGUACAGCCAUCUAAUGUUUCCAGUAAUUCUGGAAUGAUUGGAGCACAGCCACCAAAUAUUCCAAGUAGUUCCGGAAUUCUGAGACCACAAUUACCCAAUGUGUCAGGUAGCUCUGGACUCUUGGGGGUACCACCCCCAAAUAUUCCUAGCAAUUCUGGACUCCUGGGAGUUCAGCCACCAAAUGUUCCAAGUAAUUCUGGAAUUCUGGGACCACAGCCACCAACUGGGCCUCAAAACUUGCCCCCAUUAAAUAUUCCUGGUCAGCGGAUGCCUGGAAUACCAAUGUUAGAUAUUCGUCCAGGACUUAUACCACAAUCUCCUGGGCCAAGAUUCCCUUUAUUGCAGCCUGGACUUCCACCACAAAGAGGAAUUCCACCUCCUGCAAUUCUUGAUGCAUCUCUUCAUCCUCCACCUCGUGGUCCUUUUGCUCCAGGAGAUAUUUUCAGUCAGUCAGAAAGACCUUUUCCAGCUCCUUUAAGACAAAAUAUAGAUCAUAUACCUAAUCCAGAAAAAAGGCUACCACUUGGGAAUGAUAGUAUUCAACAGGAAGGAGAUAGAGAUUAUCGCUUUCCUCCUAUAGAAAACAGGGAGACCAUUAAUAGGCCUUCACCAGUGGAUGUUAGGGACGUAGUGGGGCGACCUGUAGAUCCAAGAGAAGGUCCAGGAAGACCUCCAAUAGAUGGAAGGGAACACUUUGGAAGACCACAUAUAGAUAUAAGAGAAAAUCUUGUAAGACCAGGUAUAGAUAACCUUGGUCGAAGAGACCACUUUGGUUUUAAUUCAGAUAAGCCUUGGGGCCAUAGAGAUUUUGAUGAAAGAGAGCAUCGUGUUUUACCUCUCUAUGGUGGUCCUAAAAGCUUCCAUGAAGACAGAGGUAGAUUUAGACACGGAAAUUUUAGGUUUGAUCCUAGAAGUGGUCCUAUUUGGAACAGAGGAUUUGGACAGGAUGCUCACAGAGAUUUUGAUGACCGCAGAAGACCCUGGGAGAGACAAAGGGAUAGAGAUGAAAGAGAUUUUGAUUUCUGCCGAGAAAUUAAUGGAAAUCGUUUUGGAAGAGACAGAAUUCAGAACACCUGGGUCCCACAUCCACACCCCCGAGUUUUUGAUUAUUUUGAAGGGGCCACUUCUCAACGAAAAGCUGAUAAUGUACCCCAGGUAAAUGGUGAAAAUACAGAGACAGAUAAUCAACCACCACCUUUACAAGUACAGAAUGAUCCUGAACUUUAUGAAAAACUGACAUCUUCAAGUGAAAUAAACAAAGAGAAGAAUGACACAGAAGCUGAUAUAGAAAGUGAACCAGUGGUAGAAAGCACAGAAACUGAGGGGACAUAAUCAUCACUCAGUAGGGAUAUGAUUUUUCCCCUGAGGACUGCUUUAGCUGCAUCCCAGAAAUUCUGGUCUUUAUGAGUCAGGAGAUAAUGGAGCAGUCUAGCUGAAUAUGGAGCCUUUCAUCUUCAGCUAACCAGUUUAAAUGGAGAAAGAUGACAGAACAGGAAGGAAGUGAGGAAGACCCUAGAUGAUGAAACCUUGGAGGAGAAUAAUUUAAAAACAAAGAAAAAUAGAAAAACUGAAAAACCAGAAUUGGAUCCUGAAUACCAGCCUUUUCUGCAUACAGCCUAAACUCAUAGGCAAAUAUCUACGAAAGAGGUGAAGACAAAGAUGAAGAGAAUACAAAGAAGAACUUAAGACAUUCAGCUGCUGGAGCUGUACUUUUCUCUAAUAGAUCCUUCAGCCAGGACUGGACAUGAUGAGGAUGAAUUGCUUUUGCAGUCCUCCAACUGAAGUAUGAAAUUCAUGGGCAGCCUGGGCACAAACUACAAAGGAGUUUCUCCACCUCCGUUCUUCUGCAUAGUCAAAGAACUGUAAUGUUUAAUAUUUAAACUAUAUUUUUCCAUGUUUACACAACCUGGCAGCCACUGUAAACAUUAUAAUUAUGCUCAGAGUCCAAAAGCCAUUUCAUAGUAAGUUUUUAAAGCACAGUAUGGGUCACAGACUUGAAAUACAGUUUUCCAGAAAGAGGCUCUCUCUUGGUAUAUGCAGUUGAAGUUACAUAUAUACUAGUCAUGUAUCAUUUUCAUAAAGCAUGCAGUCUACUCUCAGGUGAUUUUCAAAGCAAAACGUUGUUGCUGCUAUCUUAAUAUUAUUUCCAGAUUUUGCUUUUGAGGGUCCUUCUCAUUUUUUUCCCCCAAAGUGGAGGUAAAUAGUCUUUUACAAUGUAAAAAAUUAACAGAGGAAGAGGUAGAGAAGGACACUUAUGUGACAGAAUAGAGAGAGUGCAAGACUUAGAGUCAGAAAUGCCUAAUUCAAAUCCUGCCUUAGACACUUACUAAUUGUGUGACUCUGUGCAAGUUUCCUAAUUCAUAUGUGCCUCAGUAUCUUUAUUUCUAAAAUGGGAGUUAUUACUAUUUCUACCUCAAGGAAUUGUGAGGAUCAAGUGAAUUAACAUGUAAAAAGCACUUUUCAAACAUUAAAAGAGUAUGUAAGUGCUAUUAUAUUAUUAUUUAUAGCACUUUCUAUUAUAUUUUUACAUAUAAAUUGAGUGAGAAACUGAAGGCUGAUACCCCCAGAAAAUUUUGACAGGUAUUAUACUAAAGUGUGACUUUAUUUCAAAGGUUUUUUGGCUCAACCUUAUUAUAAAAUAAUAGUAGUAAUAGGUAGUACUUUUAGGCUUGAAAAUCCUUUAUCCUCAUAUUCGAGGAGGAAUUGGCAUGAUGGAAUCACUGAGUCCCAGGCGAGGAGAGAUAUUUGCCCAAGACCACUCCGGCACUAUCCAAAGCAGGAUUUGGACUUAUAUACUCCGAAUCCCAUUAUCUCUGAAUCCAGAAUACCAGAACUUCUGAAUCGCUGAAUUUGGGAUUUUACAGCCUCAGUGUGGUUAGCAUAAGUAUAAAUAUAUAAAAUUAAAUUAAAAACCUCUAAAGGCAGUAUAUUAUAAAAGAAAAGGCAUUGACUUGGAGUUGGCCAAUUAGGUUUCAAAUCCUGACUUCUAGUCACCAAUUUGUGUGAUCUUAGUAAGAUGUUAACUCUCUCUGAGCCUCAAUUUCCUCAUUUUCAAAAAGGUAUGUAAUAUUUAUACUACUACACCAUGGGGUUGCUGUGAUGAUCAAAUGAAAUAAUAAACACUUCAAAAAUGUAAGUUGUUAUUAUUCUUUUGCAGUUGUUUUUAUUCUUCCCUUGGUGGGGGGAGGGAGGGAAUGGGGAGGAUACUAUUUCUAAUUGCUUUAACUCUGAGGCUCUCAACCUGUGUUUUAUUGGUACAAGGAACUCCUGAAUAAGUAAAAUCUCUCUACCAAAGUAGAUUGGCAUCUUAUUGCAAUUUAUGUAUUGGAUCAUAAUUAUUGCUGUUAUUCAUAUAACACUUUUAAGUUUAUAAAACACUUUAUAUGUUAGCUCAUUUGAUCCUCAUAACAUUGUGAAGUGGGUACAAUUAUAAUUCUCAUUUUACAGAUGAGAGAACUGAGACAUUUAAGGGACUUGCUCAGGGUCAUACAGCCAGUAUAUAUAUAAGAAGGGGAAUUUGAAUUCAUUUAAGGAAGAAAAAAAAUUUUUAAGUUAUAAAAGAGCUGGUCUUUAUGUGUCUCCCACAACAAAUUAAAUUACAAAAUUCUCUGAAAAAAAAUGGAACUUUUUCUAGUUUUGGACUCAAUCAUAGAACCAUAGUCUUGGAAAAUUCAACUUUCCUUUUUGUGGCUUCUUUUCCCACUAUGGCAGCGGAGAAGGGCUGCUGGGAUCACUAUAGAUACUACCAGGGGAAACAGUCAAAUGUUGGCUUUCUUGUCUCUGCAGGUCUAGUCCAAGGACCAAUGUGGAGGAUGAUCCAUGGUGAUGGCCAAACCAAGCAUUUUCAUAACCUGAAUCAUCAAGUUUUAGCCUCAGUUUGUGGGCCCAAAUCAGUCAUUUGAAGGAAAUGGAUGUCAGUCUAAUGUCUAUCCAUGUCAGUACUGUGAAAAGAUGAUCCUAUGUUUAAUAAGCACAAUAGGGUAUAAACCAAACUCCCAUUGUCAAUCAUCUCAUCUCAUUUGAAUAUAAUACAAAUUUUUGGUGAGUUUGUGAAUAUGAUCCUCCCUUUACUCCAUCACUGUACCUCUUGGCUACUUUAUAUUUUAUUUUCAGAAUACUGGUGUGAAUCAGUAUGAAAUUAUGAAAGUCUGUUUAUCAUUGAGGUUUAAUUAAUAAAAUACACUGAAUCCGGCAGAAACUUGUGGUUUAGUUUAGUGUAAUGGAAAAUUUUAAGAAUCAGAUGUGUAAGUGGAAUCUGGGAAAAAAUGCCAAUUUUCCUUGAAGCAUAGAAUUAAUGUCUUUCCCGUAUCCAAAAAAUUUUGUAGAGCACUUGUUCUCCAAUGUUUGGAUUACUGUUUUCAACCAAAUGUUCAAUGAUUUGUGCUUAUUACCAAUGUGGGAAUACAGAUACAUGUAAGGUCAUUCUUAUCUAUAAGAGGAGGAUUUUAAACCAGAUUGUGGUAGUUCAGGAGACUUCAGAUACAAAUCAGCAAAGUAUAGGGAGAUGGGAGUUAACAAAAUGUCAUUACCACUCACAAGGGGAAGAGGAGAAUGGAAGCCAAUAGGAAAUUUCCUAUGAAGGGACAGAACCAAGAUGACAGAGAAAAGGCAGGAACUUGCCUGAGCUCUCCCCCAAACACCUCUAAAGACCUUUAAAUAAUGUACUAAAAUUUAAAAUGCAGAGUGAAAUAAUUUUCCAGAGUAAGACAACAUACAAGGUCAGCGGGAAAAUGAGCAAACAACAGGAAAAAAUUCUGACCAUCGAAAGUUACUAUAGUAACAAAGAAGAUCAAAACACACUUAAAAGACGAUAGAAAAGUCACAAUUUUUACAUCCAAAGCCUUUGAGAAAAAUAUAAAUUGGCCUCAGGUCACAGAAGAGCUCAAAAAGUAUUUUAAAAAUCAAGUAAGAGAAGUAGAGGAAAAAAUGGAAAGAGAAAUAAAGGUGAUACAGAAAAAUUAUUGCAGAAGAUUUAACAGCUUAAUUAAAAAAAAAAAAACAUAAAAAGUGCUAAAGAAACUAACACCUUAAAAAUAGAAUAGGCCAAAUGGUGAAAGAGUUACAAAAAUCCAAUGAAGAGAAGAAUUUAUUAAAAAGCAGAAUUGACCAAAUGGAAAAAAGCACAAAAAUUCACUAAAAACAGAAUUUGUCAAAUGGAAAAGAACAUCAAGAAAUAAUAAUUAAAAAAAAAUAAAACUUCAGAAUAGUCUUGGAUCAUUGUAUUGCUGAGAAUAGCAAAAUCAUUUGUAACUGAUCAUCUCAAAACAUUGUUAUUACUCUGUACAUAGUACAUUUCACUUUUCAUGAACUCAGGGAAGAUUUUUCUGAGUAUUUUGAGAGCAUUCUGUUUAUUUCCCAUGGGAUAAAAGCAUUCCAUCAUAAUCACAUACCACAAUUAAGCCAUUUCCCAAUUAAUGCACAUUGCUCCAAUUUCUAACUUGAAAAAAAAAAAAAACCUGAGGAAAGAACUACUAUAAAUAUUUUUGCACAUAUAGUUCCUUUUCCUUUUUUUAUGAUCUCUUUUGGGAUACAUGCUAGCCAUGUUAUUAUUGGGUCAAAGGGUGUUCAUAUUUUUAUAACCCUUCAAGUAUAGUUCCAAAUUGCUCUACAGAAUGAUUGAAUCAAUUCACAAUUCUACCAUCAAUGUAUUAAUGUCUUAUUUCCCCACUUUUUCUCUAACAUUUGUUAUCCUCCUUUUCUGACUCAUUUGCCAAUCUAAUAGGUAUGAGGUAGUAUCUCAAAAUUGUCCCAAUUUUAAUUUCUUUCAAUAGUAUUUUUAUAUGGAUAUAAAUAGCUUGAUUAAUUCAUCUGAAAAUUGUUCACAUCUUUUGAUCAUUCAUCAACUGAAGAAUGGUUCUUAUUAUUUAUUUUUUUUUUAAUAAAUCUGGCUUCGUUCCCUCUACAUUUGAGAAAUGAGGCUUUCAUUGGAGAAACUUGCUUCAAAAUUCUUUUCACAAUUUCCGUUGCUAACUGUAUGCCCCUCUCUCCCCAUUUAUUUCAUUCUGUUUCUCCUUUCAUCUUGUCCCUUCUCAAAAUAUUAUAGUCAAAUUCCAGAUCUACCAGAUUAAGGAGAAAAUUUUUCAAACAGAAAGAAAAAAUUCAAAUAUUGUGGAACCACAGUCAGGAUAACCCAAGAUUUUGGUGGAUUGGAGAGCUUAGAAUAUAAUAUUCUGAACAAGUUAGGUUUACAAUCAAAAUUGCCUCACCAGAAAAAUGGAGUGUAAUACUUUAGGGGGGAAAUAGGUAUUCAGUGCGAUAAAGGACUUUCAAUCAUUUGUGAUGAAAAAAACAAAACUGAAUAGAAAAAUUGACUUCCAACUACAAGUCUCAAGAGAAGCAUAAAAAGGUAAACAGGAAAGGAAAAUCAUAAGGGACUUAAUAAGGUUAAAUUGUUUACAUUCCUACACAGGAAGACAAUACUUUUUCAUUAUUAGAACAGUUAAAAGUAGCAUAUAUAGACAGAGGGAAUAGGUAUGAAUUAAAUAUGAAAGGAUAAUAUGUAAAAAAAUGAAAUUAGAAAAACUCCUUGGGAGAAAGGGAAAGAAAGAGAUAGAAUGGGAUAAAUUUUCUCACGUAAAAGAGGCAAGAUGGGAAAGGUAGUGAACUCUUGAAUUUUUACUUUCAUCUGAACUCAAUUAGAGGGAAUAAUAUAUACACUUAAUUGGGCAUACAAAUCUAUUAUAGUCUCUAAGAAAAUAAAAGGAGAAAGAGAUAGAGAAUAGAGAAGAUGUUCAUUGAAAGGAAGAUGGAUUGUGGAUUAGGGGAGGCAACAGAAGAAAAACUUUUGAGGAAGGACAGGGUGAAAGGAGAGAGAUUAUAGUAAACAGGAGAAAUAGGAUGGAAAGAAAUACAGUUAGCAAUUAUAACUUUGAAAAAGUUUUUGAAGCAAGUUUUUCAAAGGCCUCAUCUCUCAAAUAUAUAGAGAAGAAAGGAGUCAAUUUUGUAAAAUAAAAUAAGAUCCAUUGCCCAAUUCAGAAAUGUUUGAAAAAUACAGUCAGUAAUCAAAGUUAUCUAUAGCUGUAUUUAAAAAUGCUCUAAAUCAUUAUUGAUUGGGAAAAUGAAAAUUAAAACAAUUCUGAGAUACUACUUCACAUAUAUUAGAUUGGCUAAUAGAACAGAAAAAGAGAAUGAUAAAUGUUGGAGAAGAUGCGGGAAAAUUGGGACACCAAUGCACUACUGGUGGAGUUGUGAACUGAUCCAAUUCCUACAUAGAGCAAUUUGGAACUAUGUCUAAAUAUUAUAGCACCUCUUUUCUGGUGGCAAAGAAUUGGAAAGUGAGAGGAUGCCCAUCAGUUGGGGAAUGGUUGAACAUUUUGUGUUAUUAAUCAUGAUUAUGAUGAGCUAGAUGCUCUCAAAAAAAAAAAAAAACCUGAAAAGAUUUCCAUAAACUGAUGCAACAUGAAAUGAGUCAAACCAGGAGAACAUUGUACAAAGUAAUAGCAAUAUUGUAAAAGGUAUUGUGAAUGACUCAGCUAUUCUAAGCAAUACAGUGACCCAAGACAACUCUGAAGGAUUUAUGGAAAAUGCUGUCCCUCCCCAGAGAAAGAACUGAUGGAAUCUGAAUACAGAUUGAAGCAUACUUUUUCAAUUUUUUUUCAAUUUUUCUUGGAUUUUUAUUUUGGUCUUUUUUUUUUUUUAACAAUAUGAUUGCUAUGGCAAUAUGUUUUAUAUGAUUACACAUGCGUAACAUUUCAAAUUGCUUGGUGUGGAGAGAAAAUUUGGAUCUCAAUUUUUAAAAUGAAUGUUGAAAAUUGUAAUAGGAAAAAACAAAAUAAUUCAAAAAGAGAAAAAGUUCUGUGAAAUGAAAAUCCUGGCCGAUUCUUUAGGGCACAUGUUCAUUUUCUUUCUUUCUUUCUUUCUUUCUUUCUUUCUUUCUUUCUUUCUUUCUUUCUUUCUUUCCUUACUUACUUACUUAUUUUUUUUUUAAUUUUAUUUUAUUUAAUAAUAACUUUGUAUUGACAGAAUCCAUGCCAGGGUAAUUUUUUACAACAUUAUCCCUUGCACUCGCUUAUGUUUCGUUUUUUUCCCCUCCCUUCCUCCAUCCCCCUUCCCCCCCAAGAUAGCAAGCAGUCCUAUAUCACAUGUUCAUUUUCAAUGGUUAAUUUCAUUCAAUUAAGAGGUUCAAAAUUAAAUUGUUAGAGAAAGUGCAAAGUAUAUAUUUAAAUAAUAUUGGCAGUUGCUAAAUUUUAAAACUCCUAUCAUCACAUAAUUGGAAUAUCUGUGAUUAUUUUGUACAACUCACUUUUAAAAAGGAAUCCUUUAUAAUCCCUUCAUGGAAUCCUUACAUCUCAAAAUUUGAAGGGAUAUUACAAUUCCAAUUUGGGCAAAAAUCCUCUCUGUAGAAUUCACAUAAAAAUAGAGAAUAUUAGAAUUGGGAAGUGUUGAGUUUCAUUUCAGACAUUCAGAAAAUGUAGAGCCUUUCAUUAAAAGGAGCAAAUUGGACAGUGAAUCCAAAAGCAGCAUGCCUUUUUGUCAGGGAUGUAAAAAAUGUGUCCAGAGAGGACACUAGUCCUAACUUGAGAUAUCCAAGGAUUGGAACAAUCAAUCAUCAGCCAGGGCAGUGGCCAGACCUCAGAUGCCUAAGUCCCCAAGACCAAAGCAAAAAGAGAAAGGGGGGUUUACCACAGUCUUGGGAAGAGGAUACUACUCAGCAGUGCUACAUCCAGCAUCAUGUUUUCCAAUUGCUGCCUUUAAUUGGGGUCCUGUCUCCAGCAAGGCCCUCAUUGAUCCUUCCCACCCCACACCCUACCACCCCCCACACACUGUAGGACUAGGAGCCAAUACUUCCAACAGAUCCAAAAUUAUGAGAGUUAAUUGACUCACACCAAUGUAACUUCACUUUGUUAUAUAUUUUAUAGAAAGGGAUGACACGUUGUUGUUCAAGCAUAUUUGUUUUCCCGUCACUCAUGUUAUUUCCAGGGAGACACUGAGGAUUGAUUAGAAAGAUAUACAACACAGGGUACUAAAGUUUCCAUCACUGAAGAUUCCAGAAAGGGAAGAAAGCACCAGGGCAGGAGUGGAUACAUCUAGAGCAGUUUGUCCAAAGCCUUUAGCAAGAUCCCUUUUGCCAAAAUAUCCCAUGGUUCCAUGCUGUCAGUCAACAAGCAUUUAUUAGACACAUAUCAUGAUUCAAAGGAGUAUGAGGUAGGUAGGUGUGGGGCAAUGAACAGAGAAAUGGACCUGGAAUCAGGAAGACUUGCUAAGUCCCUUUACUUCUCUAAGCCUCAGAUAUUUCUGCAAAAUGGGGUUAAUAAUUCAAAACAAAAUCAAAGGAGAUAAAAUGUAAACUUUAAAAUGCUACUAUAUAAAUGGUAUAAUGAUGAUAUAAAUAUCCUCUUUAUAAUUAAGCUUAUAACUUUGGUGUAUUCAAGGUAAUAUAUAAUAUAAACUUCUAGUAUAUAAAUUGUUUCUCAAGUUUAUAAUUUGGUUUCUCAAGCAGAAUUUUAAAGAUAAACCUUUUGGUAUUUGUCCAAAAAAUCCCCUACUUUACUUUCCCUCCCCCUCCCCCAAGAUAUCUCUAGACAGAGAUGUGACUCCUUUCUUAUAGUGCAAGAGGUCAUUGGUCUGGCCAUUUAUGCUAAUGCCAUGUCUAAAUUUUUAAAACAAUUUGAAAACUGGGGGCUCCGGGGAAGGAAAAUACAUGAUAUUAAAAAAAAAAAAAAACAACUUUGACUACAGGUUCCUUUUUUGAGGUUUCUCCACUAAACUGACUAGCUCAAGAUCAAACCUAGCAAGGGAAUCACUAGUUCUGGAGAGACCUGGAUCUGAAUUCCAAUUCCAUUUCUAAAGCUUACUAACUUUGUAUCCACAAAAUGAGGACCUCAAUUUCCUCAUGUGUAAAGUAAGAUUAGAAUAGAUAGCCUCUGAGAUCCUUUCCAGGCCUACAUAUAAAUUUGCUUCACUCUUAGCAGUCAAACCAAGACAUAGUCUGCUGAUGGAUUUUAAGGCAAUGUUUGGAUGUGAAUGUGGACAGCCAGCACAAAAGUAUUUUAGCUCACUGUUUGGGCUUUCUUACUCCAGGCUUUCAAACAAAGCCUCAACAAAGAGAUCUGCUGAAUUCUUUGUAUGCAUAGCUUGCAAUCCUCAGCUAGAUCACAUGCCCCCAAACACUAGCUUUCUGGUGCUGGGUCUUACAUGUCAGAAUCUUUUUCUCUGAAAUAGGGAAGGGGGAAGGGAGGAAAGUUUGAGGCCCCAUUGAGAAUUUUUCCAAGCCAAAUGCAACCAUACCACCUAAGCACGUUGCUGUACUCUGCCACCCAGAAGAAUGAAUCUGUGAAAGUUUCAUAUGCUCAGUAUUAGAACAUCUAAGUUUAUUGAGGCAAUUUGCAGCAACUAAAACAGAUGGGGUAUAACUGUACACAUAUGACAUUUGGAAUCUGAGACUUUAUUUAAAAAGAAAAACAUAAAUACUUAUUUCAUUGGUGGGAAGAAAAGUAACAACACAACCCACGAACAUUUUGUCAGACUCUCAGGAACUGGAGAAAAAUUUCCCAAAGGAGCGUUGCUUAGGGGUAGUAUGUUAAAUAAAAGAGCCUGUAACUGGCAGUAAAGAAACCUGGGUCCUAACAAUAAUUUACCUUUUUGUAGGGAAAAGGGAACCAUGAUAAUAGAGCUAGUAAAAGUUAGAGGCAAGUUUCAAACUCAAGUCAAGCUCUUCAGUUACUCUACCAGAAUGUUUCUACUAACUACCUCUUGGGAGAUAAAAUUUCAAGACUUCAGUUUCCUCAUCUGUAAAGUGAGGAUAUGGUUCUUCCAGUUCCAGAUAAAUCCAUUGAAUCUAAUAGUAAGUGGGAAUGACCUUCCUGUGGGGAUAGAUUUAGAAAGGCUGGUAGAGGCUUUGCAGCCUCCUCAAAUCACAAAGAGUACAUUCUAACAGAAAGGACCCCAGGGCAUUGGGUUACAAUCCCAUGAAAUUUUGGACAAAUUAUUAUGGCUCUCUGGACCUAUUAUCAGCAAAAUGAAGUUGGGGAGGGUUGACUUAGAUAAAGUGUUCUGAACUUCUUUGGUACUCUAGUGAAGCCUCUGGACCCUUUCUCAGGAUAAUAUUUUUAAAUAUAUAGGAUUAAAAAUUAUAAUUAGCAAAAUAUUAAAAAUACAGUUUUGCUGACCCCUAAAUAAUUACUCUUGCUCUUUGAAAUUGUUUCUUUAAAAUAUUGCUAUUAUUCUCUCAAACCUGUGGAAGAGGAAGGAAUUUGUGACCAAAGAAGAACUAGAGAUCAUUAUUGAUCACAAAAUAGAAAAUUUUGAUUAUAUAAAAUUGAAAAGUUUUUGUACAAACAAAACUAAUGCAUACAAGAUUAGAAGGGAAACAAUAAACUGGGAAAACAUUUUUACAGUCAAAGAUUCUGAUAAAGGCCUCGUUUCCAAAAUAUAUAGAGAAUUGACUCUAAUAAGAAAUCAAGCCAUUCUCCAAUUGAUAAAUGGUCAAAGGAUAUGAACAGACAAUUCUCAGAUGAAGAAAUUGAAACUAUUUCUAGCUAUAUGAAAAGAUGCUCCAAAUCAUUAUUAAUCAGAAAUGCAAAUUAAGACAACUCUGAGAUACCACUACACCCCUGUCAGAUUGGCUAGAAUGACAGGGAAAGAUAAUGCGGAAUGUUGGAGGGGAUGUGGGAAAACAGGGACACUGAUACAUUGUUGGUGGAAUUGUGAACACAUCCAGCCAUUCUGGAGAGCAGUUUGGAACUAUGCUCAAAAUGUUAUCAAACUGUGCAUACCCUUUGAUCCAGCAGUGUUUCUACUGGGCUUAUACCCCAAAGAGAUACUAAAGAAGGGAAAGGGACCUAUAUGUGCACGAAUGUUUGUGGCAGCCCUGUUUGUAGUGGCCAGAAACUGGAAACUGAGUGGAUGCCCAUCAAUUGGAGAAUGGCUGAAUAAAUUGUGGUAUAUGAAUGUUAUGGAAUAUUAUUGUUCUAUAAGAAAUGACCAGAAGGAUGAUUUCAGAAAGGCCUGGAGAGACUUAAAUGAACUGAUGCUGAGUGAAAUGAGCAGGACCAGGAGAUCAUUAUAUACUUCAACAACAAAACUAUAUGAUAAUCAAUUCUGAUGGACAUGGCCUCUUCAACAAUGAGAUGAACCAAAUCAGUUCCAGUAGAGCAGUAAUGAACUGAACCAGCUACACCCAGCAAAAGAACUCUGGGAGAUGACUAUUCCCUCUAUUUUUGUCCACCUACAUUUUUUAUUUCCUUCACAGGCUAAUUGUACACUAUUUAAAAGUCCAAUUCUUUUUGUACAACAAAAUAACUGUUUGGACAUGUAUACAUAUAUUGUAUUUAACUUAUACUUCAACAUAUUUAACAUGUAUUGAUCAAUCUGCCAUCUAGGGGAAGGGGUGAGGAGAAGAAGGGAAAAGUUGGAACAAAAGGUUUUGCAAUUGUCAAUGCUGAAAAAUUACCCAUAUAUCUUGUAAAUAAAAAGCUAUAACAUAAUAAAAAAUAAAAUAUUGCUAUUA